rnacentral:rRNA from 1 species
CAGUCGCCGCGGUAAUACAGAGGAUGCAAGCGUUAUCCGGAAUGAUUGGGCGUAAAGCGUCUGUAGGUGGCUUUUCAAGUCCGCCGUCAAAUCCCAGGGCUCAACCCUGGACAGGCGGUGGAAACUACCAAGCUGGAGUACGGUAGGGACAGAGGGAAUUUCCGGUGGAGCGGUGAAAUGCGUUGAGAUGUGGAGGAACACCAGUGGCUAAGGCGACUCUCUGGUCUGUAACUGACGCUGAGGAGCGAAAGCGUGGGGAGCGAGCAGGAUUAGAGACCCCUGUAGUCCCUGUCUCUUAUAC